CCCGCAACGAGCGCAACCCUUGAUCUUAGUUGCCAGCAUUUAGUUGGGCACUCUAAGGUGACUGCCGGUGACAAACCGGAGGAAGGUGGGGAUGACGUCAAAUCAUCAUGCCCCUUAUGACCUGGGCUACACACGUGCUACAAUGGAUGGUACAAAGGGCUGCAAGACCGCGAGGUCAAGCCAAUCCCAUAAAACCAUUCUCAGUUCGGAUUGUAGGCUGCAACUCGCCUACAUGAAGCUGGAAUCGCUAGUAAUCGCGGAUCAGCAUGCCGCGGUGAAUACGUU
rnacentral:rRNA from 1 species